GGUAUAAGCUCAAGCCACAAUUUCUCUUUGAUAUGUGCUAUGCUUUUUGUAACUUUCGCUUAUGCUCCUUUGCAGGUGGAUUUACCUGAACCUUCAUAUUAACCUUGUUGAUGCCUGUCAGCAUUGUUUGCUGUUUGGAUUUUUGUCUUCCGGAGAAAGGUCUCCUGUUUUUUGUGGAUUAAGGUUCAAGAUCCUUGUCUACUUCAUCUGGACAACAACCAGCUGGCAGCUUCCUGUUUUUUCCCAUCAUCCGGACCAAGCCAUAAGCGUACCCUGUCCACCCUCCAACGCAAGCACCUUCACCUCGGACCUUUUGUUGGACGCACCUAGUUCUCUUAAGCCGCACCAUAGAAGUCAUAAGCCCGGACCCCGAAUCCCUCUACCCCUGGCGGUGAGGCUACCUCUUCAUAUUGGCGAUCUACCCAUACCAGUUCUAGAACUUUUCACAUUAUUUCUUGUUUAUGAAAAUCUAAUUCAUAAUCUAGUCUCCUUCAGAAUGUUUUUCUGCAUGUGGGUCAGAUCUGUAACGAGUAAAAUGACACACGCAUAUACCCUAAUGGCUGAUUUACAGUUUCAAAUUUACAUAGGAUGUUUAUUGUUUUUUUUUUUUUUUUUUUUGUCUGUUGUGCAUUUAAGUUUCAUUUGUGGUUACAAAAAUCAGCACUCUGGCAACAACGGGAACAACAGCACCAUCAAAGUUUUUCUUUUCAGACAUCCACCCCUCCCCCCUGCUAGGUGCCCUUUCUUUGUUUUUUUGUUUUGUUUUUUUAACAUGAGAAAGAGGCCUGUGGGAUGAUGGUAGACAAACACACAGACAAUCAGAGAAGAAUUCAAAUUUUUAAUUUUUUCUUUCAGCAGCUGUGCCAAAUAAAAGUCUAAUAUGCAGUGCCAUGGAAGGUGCUUUGAGUUCUUUGUAGGCGUAAAUGUUAAACAAUGAAACAGCUCUGCUCCAGCAGCUGGUAGAUGUCUAUCACCCUAAGUUGACUUUCUCAUUGAAAAUACAUUCUGCUUUGCAACCACUUAACAGCAGUCUCAUCAUGAUUUUACAGUCCCAGAUAAAACAUUAAAACUAGCAGGAUAAUCAUGUACAGCCAAACUGAAAUAAAGCAACUAAAAGAAAGAUCUAAAUGAGUGUUUACAUGCAUAAUUAAAAAACUGUUACUCACUGAA